UUUGCAAACCUCUGCAAGGCCAUGCUGUGCGUAACGUAGAUACAGAUCAAAUAGUUUUGUGCAUGUAUGUAUAUAUAUAUAAGAGGUCUCGAAACAUCUCCUUCCUUUAUUCGGGACCCAACAGACGGAUAAAACAUGGCGCAGCUGUUUUUCUUUGCUGUACUCGCUUUGGCGGCUUCUGCAAGCGGGCAGCAAUCUUCCUCUUGCGUUUUCCCUUUCGUCUAUAACGGGGACACGUACGAUUCCUGUACAACCGCUGGCUCCACCGCCUUCUGGUGCUCUUUCGACAACGUCUACUCGGGCAACUGGAAGUACUGUGACGAGCAGGAGUGCACGUUCCCGUUCAUCUAUAACGGGCAGACUUUCUUGUCCUGUGCGGAGGGAGGUGCGCUCGCCUCCGACUGGUGCUCUCUGGACGCUGUGUAUGACGGGGAGUAUGUCUCCUGCAGCGACAAUGCUGUGAUUGUGGAUCCCCUUGAAGACAAACCAGAGGCGUGCCACUUCCCGUUUGAGUACCAGGGCCAGACCUACAGCACCUGUACUCUGGAGGAAUCCAGCGACCUGUGGUGUUCUCUGGACGCCGUCUAUGACGGAAACUACAAGUACUGCGGGGAAGAGGAGUGUGUGUUCCCCUUCAUCUACAAUGGGGAGGAGUACAGCGAGUGUGUGAUUGCUGACAACGGCAGGGGCUGGUGUUCUCUGGACCACAUCGACCAAGGGAACAGGGUGUACUGUUCGGAACAGGUUUGUAGCGAGACCGUCUACAAGGACCAGGGCCACCUUCACUCCCCCAACUACCCCCAGAACUACAACCACGACAUGGACUGUUCCUGGAUCUUCCCGGCUAGAGGCGGCACCGUCAACCUCGAGUUUCAGGACUUCGCUCUAGAGGGGGGAGCGGCUACCUUCGGGAUGUGCGAGUUUGACUACGUCGAGAUCUUUGCUGGGGACAGGAAUCUGGGAACCUGGUGUGGUGACUACGGUCCGACUAACAUCACAUCCACCAACGAGGACGUGACCAUCCACAUGGUGACUGACGACAGUGUGGCGGCCAGGGGGUGGAAUUUGAAGUUUAAGGUGGUCGGGGCUGCACCCUUCGGACCAGGUCUAGAGGAGUGUGGGGGGCUACUGCACGGGCAACACGGGGAGAGAACGUCUCCUGGGUUCCCUGAUAGUUACCACAACGAUAUCGACUGUACCUGGACGCUUGAGGCGAAACAUGGAGGCGUGAUUCUGGAGUUCCCGGAGUUCAGCCUGGAGAAGCCCGGGGAAUACCAGGGGUGCACUUACGACUUCGUGGAAAUACACCACGGCCUCAACCGCGUCGGCCGUUUCUGCGGCGACUCCCCCCUCCGACGACCACGUACUACGAGAAGGUGAGUAUCCGGUUCCGGACCGACCAGCACACCGUGGCUUCCGGAUUCCGGUUCAGCUGGACUUACCUCCACGCUGAGACCUCCCCGGUCCCGCCUAUGCCGACCACUCCGGAACUGCCUAAGACGACCACUCCGGAGCGCCCAAUGGAGUCUACUACCUAUCCACCGGAACCCACCCAGGCUCCUACCACAACUUAUCCACCGGAGCCCACUCAGUCCCAGCCCUAGCCGACGGCGCCCAGGCCGACCACAGUUAUACCUAUCUAACCAGACGGCAGUGGCAAAUGGAGCGAUGCAGCUGAAGACAACUUGGGCACGGUCCUCUUUGAAGACGCCAAGAGUCUCUCCUCCAUAAAGCAUCAUAUGAUUGUGGUUUAGCUUCUUAACCUCCAAGGUUAAUAAACUUUGAGCCAGA